AUUGAACGCUGGCGGCAGGCUUAACACAUGCAAGUCGAGCGAGCGGCGGACGGGUGAGUAAUGUCUGGGAAACUGCCUGAUGGAGGGGGAUAACUACUGGAAACGGUAGAUAAUAACGCAUACAAUCAGAUGUGCCCAGAUGGGAUUAGCUAGUAGGUGGGGUAAUGGCUCACCUAGGCGACGAUCCCUCGCUGGUAUGAGAGGAAGACCCGCCACACGGGAACUGAGACACGGUCCAGACUCCUACGGUAGGCAGCAGUGGGGUAUAGUGCACAAUGGGCGCAAGCCUGAUGCAGCCAUGCCGCGUGUGUGAAGAAGGCCUUCGGGUUGUAAAGCACUUUCAGCGAGGAGGCGUUACUCGCAGAAGAAGCACCGGCUAACUCCGUGCCAGCAGCCGCGGUAAUAC
rnacentral:rRNA from 1 species